CCCAGAGGGGUCCCCCAGCCCUGGGCCAGUGAGGCAGAGCACGAGGAGCUCUCCUGGGGGAGCUCUCCUGAUGAGUUAAACUCACACCUGGAGCUGCUCACUGCCCCGUGGGCUCCUUGGGCUUUAUGAAAUGUCUUUUAUUGCCAGUCAGGAGUCCCUGAUCUCACAGGGGCAGAGCAAAGCUCGGUCAGAGUGGGGCAAAGCUCCUCUGCCGCCCUGACCAGGGCCCAAAGGGCCCUCCAGGGAUGUCCAGGCUCUUCUGGCUCCCAUCCCUCCAGGGAUGUCCAGGUUGUGUUCCUGACCCAUCUCUCCAGGGAUGUCCAGGCUGUUUUCCUGACCCAUCUCCAGGUUCUUUUCCUGUCCCAUCCCUCCAGGGAUGCCCAGGUUGUGUUCCCCUCCAGGAAUGUCCAAGUUCUUUUCCUGACCCAUCUCUUCAGGGCUGUCCAGGGAUAUUUCUGGCUCCCAUCCUUCCAGGGAUGCCCAGAUUCUUUUCCUGUCCCAUCUGUCCAGGGAGGUCCAGCUUUUUCUCCUGACACAUCUCUCCAGGGCUGUCCAGCUUGUUCUAGCUCCCAUCUCUCCAAGGAUGCCCAGGUUGAUUUCUUGACCCAGGUUCUUUUCCUGACCCAUCCCUGGAGGGAUGCCCAGCUUGAUUCUCCUGAGGUUCUUUUUCCUGUCCCAUCCCUCCAGGCCUGUCCAGGUUGUUCUCCUGACCCAUCUCCAGGUUCUUUUCCUGACCCAUUUCUCCAGGGACAUCUGGCUCCCAUUCCUCCGGGGAUGUCUGGGUUCUUUUCCUGUCCCAUCUCCCCAAGGAUGCCCAGCUUUUUCUCCUGAGGUUCUUUUCCUGUCCCAUCCCUCCAGGGCUCCCCAGCUUGUUCUCCUGAGGUUUUUCUCCUGUCCCAUCUCCCCAAGGAUGCCCAGGUUUUUCUCCUGAGGUUCUUUUCCUGUCCCAUCCCUCCAGGGCUCCCCAGCUUGUUCUCCUGAGGUUUUUCUCCUGUCCCAUCUCCCCCAAGGAUGCCCAGGUUUUUCUCCUGAGGUUCUUUUUCCUGUCCCAUCCCUCCAGGGCUGUUGAGCUUUUUCUCCUGACCCAUCUCCAGGUUCUUCUCCUGUCCCAUCUCCCCAAGGAUGCCCAGGUUGUGUUCCUGAGGUUCUUUCCUGUCCCAUCUCCCCGAGGAUGCCCAGGUUUUUUCUCCUGAGGUUUUUUUCCUCUCCCAUCUCCCCAGGGCUGCCCAGGCUGUUCUGGCUCCCCUCCCCAAGUCCCUUUCCCUCUGUCAGCAGACCCCGAGUCCCCCUGCCCAGAGCCAUUCCCUGUCCCCCACAUUUGUCCCAUCUGCUGCUGGCACCUUCCAGGAGGAGCUGGGCCCACGUCAGGAACGAUGCCAAGGCAGGAGGAAAGGCUGGAUUGCUGCUGCUGGGAGCGCACAGACUCCAGCCCUGCCUGCCCUAAACGAGCUGUUUUGGGAUUAUUUUUCAUUUUGUGGAGGUGUGUGGGCAGCCAGAGGCACUGGAGGGUGCAGUGUUGCUAUUUUGGCCGAGUUUUGUCAGCCUGUUCCUCCCCUGCUGUCUGAGCCGCGCCCUCAAAGCUUUGGGAUCGUCCCUUUCCCGUCAGGGGUCAGCGUUUCUGUUUUAUUUUUUAAUUUUUUGUCUCAAAUUAAAGGCUGCCAGCCUCCCUUUCCCACAGGGCUGGCUCGCAGCUGUUCUGGGGACAGAUUUGCUCUGCCUGCACCACUUCAGAAACACUCUGGGGGUCUGGGCUUCCCACCCUGAGCUCUGCAGGCUGCAGCAGCAAGGAUUUGGGACAAAAAUCCUGUUUUGAGCUAGGGGUGUCCUGGAAUAAAUUCCCCCCUGCCCCAAGGCUGAAAACCCCUUUGUUUGGAAUAUUUUCCCUUUGUUUGGAAUAUUUAUUAUAUUCCCUUUAUUUGGAAUAUUUCUCAUGUAAACGUGAGGAAGUUUCCCUGCACAGAGGCUGCCCUGAUGCUCAAAUGCUUUUGAUAAUUUAAAGUGCCUAAAGUGCUUCCACACUGAGCUUCAGGUGGUGAGAAAGGGCUCAAAUUCUUCAUUUCAGGUGAUGGGAAAGGGCUCAAAUUCUCCAUUUCAGGUGAAGGGGCUCAAAUUCCUCAUUUCAGGUGGUUUGGUGGAAAGGGGCUCCAAUUCUUCAUUUCAGGUGAAGGGGUUUAGUAGCAAAGGCCUCAAAUGCCUCAUUUCAAACCCCCAGUUGAUAAAGCAGAGAUAAAGAGAGGGGCAGAGCCAGGGCUGAUAAUGGGAGAUCAGGGUGAGGGAGCAGGAGGACGAGGAAAUCUUCACAAAAUUGGCUUUUUUUGGCUUCUUCUAAGGAACUUUCUGUGUCAGGAUCACAUAUUACACCAGCAAUGGAUGUUUUUGGUCUGGGUAAGAGCAUCCCUUACUUCUGUUACUGAUAUUCCCUGUGUGACCACAGAAUUUCUCCAGGAUUUGCUCCUGUUUGGCCGCAGAUUUGGGUGUGAGCUGCUCAGAGCUGUGAGCAGGAGCUUUUCUCUUCCUCACAGGGGAAUUUGGAAGGUGGAGGAGGGAUAAAUUGUGUAAAUUCCCUAAGCUAGGGAAGGAUUGGGGGGAUGGAUGGAUGCUGGUUUUCCUUUUUGAGGUCACAUCCUGCCCGUGAGACGUCGUGGUUUAUUUAUUUGGUAGAGUGAAUAUUUUGUAUACGGCGCGAGAGGAAGGCUUUUAUGGCUUUUAUUAUAAAUUUUUAUGGAAAAAGAGGGGGGAAAAAUAAAAAU